UUGUGGUCUCCAUGGAAACCAUUAGUUGCUAAGCAACUGGAGCAUCAUCUGUGCUGAGCUCUCGCAUCUAAUUAUCCCAUCACAGCAGCCGAGGAGGGUUUGGGGAGCUGAGAGGAGGGGGAGGCCAAGCACUGGAGCAAGAGGAUAACUCUUUUAGCAAAGCAGAUUCAUUGACAAUGCUGAAGUCAUUUAAAGUCACAGCAUCUUGUUCCUCAGGAGGAUUUACCAAUGUCUUGGAUAGUUUUAGAAUCCAAGUCUGGCUGUUCUACCCAUGGAUCUCACUCCACAGCACCACACCUCUGCUGCCCUGCCAACCAGAAAAACACAUCCACAGGCACCCAGAUCUCUGAGGGCAACGAUUGUCCCUAUGUUGACAGAGGUGCCAUAGAGCUUUAGGUGGUGGAACCGCUGAGCUAAAUCCCCGGCGCAAAGGAUUUUUAAAUGGAGCAUCUGAUGGUCAGAUUUAUGUCCCUGCUGCAGUGAGAAGAUUGCGUUGGAGCCUGAAGGACACUGAGGUGGAAGAGGUUCAAGUGGCUGGAUCUGCUCUCCGGAGCACAGAGACCGACAGUGCAGGUGCUGACAGCUGAAUCCUUGGAGAGGAGGGCAUGCCUGUGAGAAGCCACGGGCACGGACACAGCCAGGGAGCCCCAACUCCGGACAGAGAAAAGUGGGGCCUGCAGACAAGAUGGAGAAGCUUUCAUAAAAGAAAAGAGCCAGGAGAGAGUGGUGUCCUGGGUGUCCAAAGAGAAAACUAUGCAGGGGCUUGUGCAGGUCUGCAGUCCUUCUUGGUCCCAGUUGGGACCCCUCAUGGACUGUCAGCAGGCACUUGUGAUGGACAGAGCAGAGAUGGGGAAGGCUUCCUGGGAAUGGGUGGAGUAUGGAGGCUGGAAUGAUACAACAGAGGACCCAGAAUGGUGCCAGGAUUCCAGGGAGCAUGUGCAUUUCUGUUACCCUCCACAUCGAGCUAGCCUCUGAGGUGUGCCAGUGCUCCUUGUGAAAUGUCAUUCAUAUCUGCGUCUGUCCCUUUGCUGUUCCAUAUGUGUCAACCUAGACUGAGUACUCAGCAAGCCAUUACUGCAGUCCUAGAAGUGGAUUUCUUUUUCUUUUCUUUCCAGCAUCACAUGUUCCAGAUUCAACUACCUCUGAAAAUGAAAGUCCCAUCUGCAUGAGGCUUUGGGCGGGACAGCUAAACACAAACUGUGACAUUCUGCUCCUGGCUCCCCAAAAACUCUUGCAUAUCCCUUUAUGCAAAAAAAGCAUUUAGUCCAUCUCUAUGAGUUGCCAAAAUCCUAACAUAGAUGCCUUACUUGGACCCAUCAUAAAUGUAGUUCCUGGGGCCAGGGAUUUAGUUCAGUGGUACUGCACUU